GACGAACGCUGGCGGCGUGCCUAAUACAUGCAAGUCGAGCGGACGAAUCGAAAGCUUGCUUUUGAUUCGUUAGCGGCGGACGGGUGAGUAACACGUGGGCAACCUGCCCUGUAGACGGGGAUAACACCGAGAAAUCGGUGCUAAUACCGGAUAACACGAAAUGUCGCAUGACGUUUCGUUGAAAGACGGCUCAAGCUUCCGCUACAGGAUGUGCCCGCUGCGCAUUAGCUAGUUGGUGAGGUAACGGCUCACCAAGGCGACGAUACGUAGCCGACCUGAGAGGGUGAUCGGGCACACGGGGACUGAGACACGGCCCAGACUACUACGGGAGGCAGCAGUAGGGAAUAUUCCGCAAUGGACGAAAGUCUGACGGAGCAACGCCGCGUGAGAGAAGAAGGAAUUAGGGUCGUAAAGCUCUGUUGUUAGGGAAGAAAAAGUAAAGCAGUAACUGGCGUUACCGUGACGGUACCUAACGAGAAAGCAACGGCUAACUACGUG
rnacentral:rRNA from 1 species